GGGUCAUUAGGUUGGUCGUGCCACCGGUACGUACUGGUCUCACUGAUUCCUCCUUCCUGAAGAACCGUAAUGCCAUUAAUUUGGUGUUGCGGGGAAACAGGACUGUUACUUUGAAAAAAUUAGAGUGUUUAAAGCAAGCUAACGCUUGAAUACAUUAGCAUGGAAUAAUGAAAUAGGACGAUCGAUCCUAUUUUGUGGGUUUCUAGGAUUGACGUA
rnacentral:rRNA from 1 species